UACGUAGGAGACAAGCGUUGUCCGGAAUUACUGGGUGUAAAGCGCGUGUAGGCGGUAGGCCAAGUCUGCUGUGAAAUCGCCCGGCUCAACUGGGCGCGGUCGGUGGAAACUGGUCAACUGGAGGACGGUAGAGGCGAGUGGAAUUCCCGGUGUAGUGGUGAAAUGCAUAGAGAUCGGGAGGAACACCAGUGGCGAAGGCGGCUCGCUGGGCCGGUCCUGACGCUGAGACGCGAAGGCGUGGGGAGCGAACGGG
rnacentral:rRNA from 1 species